UACGUAGGUUGCGAGCGUUGUCCGGAUUUAUUGGGUUUAAAGGGUGCGUAGGCGGCUUUGUAAGUCAGUGGUGAAAUAUGUCAGCUCAACUGAGAGGGUGCCAUUGAUACUGCGGAGCUUGAGUACAGAUGAGGUAGGCGGAAUUGACGGUGUAGCGGUGAAAUGCUUAGAUAUCGUCAAGAACACCUAUAGCGAAGGCAGCUUACUAGGCUGUAACUGACGCUGAGACACCAAAGUGUGGGUAUCAAACAGG
rnacentral:rRNA from 1 species